ensembl:lncRNA ZNF503-AS1 ZNF503 antisense RNA 1
ACAGCUCACUGACGACUCAGGGCAGCUUCAGCUGUAAGCAGCCUGUGAUUUAUGGACACCGAGUGAACUCCUGCGGCAGAAACCAGCCUUGAGAUCAGAGCAGCAAUAGGGCUCUUUUUUGGCAGGAGACAGGGCCUGCAUUUUUCUCAUUCAUGCCAAACUGCUUUGCACGGCAAUUAGCUCUGUCCUCAUUUAGUCUCCAGUCCCAAAGGGUAAUGAAAGUCAUAUAUCAUCUUCAGGACUGCUAAUUAUUGAGCUCGCUUACAGUACUUUAAUCAGCAUUUAAUGACCCAGUCGAAAAUUCAUUGUUUGGACCCAAGCACUGGUGGGAAAGGCAGGAGGGGAGGCCUGCCUUCCUUCCUCCCUCCCGAGCCCUACAGCAGGCCAUGGAGUGGUGAGCGAGUUCGUACAGUGCCAACCACAUUCCCAGAAACUUCCAGCAGAGGUUAAUCCUGCUCCUCUCAGGAAAAAGUGAUUCAGCUCCGGUCCACCCUGGGUGCAGCGGUCCUUCUGCCAAGAUGCCUUCAUAUCAUACAGCUAUUAUUUUCGGGAGGAUUCCAAGUGAGGGCAGUCAGGGUGGGCUUGGCCCAUUCUCUAGACUUUGGAAGGUAAUGUUCUAUAGAGGCCUGUUCUGAAGCUUUACCAGGUCAAACCGGAGAAGAACCCAACAAGUAACUCAUCCCAGCCUAACUAUUCUUCAAGGGCAAUCAACCUACAGCAUCCAAGCACAGAGAAAUCAAAUCCAUGGAGAAUCUUCAAAUUAGGCUCAGAAUCCAUUUGGGUCAAUGAAUUUACUGUUAUUAAGAUCUUAGUUGUGUUCAACCAUGAUUUGACAUACCUUAGAGUGAGAAGAUAUUCUUCCUGGCCUCAGACUAGUUGAAGGUAGAGAGAGAGACAGGCCCUUGGGUGUGGGGAGACCUCUCCUGGGAUAAUACACACAAAAAACCAAGAGCUGCUCACUGUGGUGCAGGAGACAGCAGGGCCUGAAGCCAGAGGCUCUGUGUCCUUGAAUACAAUGUUUUACUCCUCUGACCCCUGUUACUGUGAUUUGGAGAGGCAGACAAUAUAGGAUGGGCUUUGCAGGCAGGGAGGUCCAGUUAUAAUCCCAGCUCUUACUAAGUUGGGUAAGACUCACUCUGAGACUUAGUUUCUUCUGUCAUCUCUCAAUAGAAUCAUAAAGGUACUUUCCUCUUAGUGUUGUUUUAAAAUUCAGUAAAAUAAUGCAGGCUUAGCACAGGGUCUGAUGUAAAUUUUCAAUGAAUUAUCGUUGUCAAUAUUGUUCUGGAAAACAAGAGGGCAUAUUAGAAGAUCAAAAGUACUGCCAAGCAUUGAAGUGCCAAUUCUAGAUCCAGUCUCAGCCCUCUGAGAAUGGAUAUCAUUGUUUUCAAGCCAUUCAGAAACCAAUGUGAAUUGAACACCUAGUAUGAGCUCUCUGAGGGAAGAGCCAAGUCAUGCAUUUUUUAUCUUAAGGGGUCUUCAAUACCUCUAGCCCAAAACAGUAUCUCCAUCAGGAUUCUUCUCUGAUAGUGUUCAUUUCUUUUUUCUCAAUGGAUGCCUUAAAAAAAAAAUCCUACAAGGAAACCUGUACUCCUCAAAUACACCACUCAGGUGACCAUUAAAUCAUUUACAUUGUUAAU